AAUAAUGAUGUUAUUCAAAUUAAAAUUAUCAUUCGUUUUCUCUAGUAAAACUUAAACCCUAACCUGUAAGAAAAUAAUAACCAAAACAACUGUUGAGGAGUGAUGCUGAAUGCUUAAAAGAACAUGUGAUUGACGCCAGAUAAUCAGAGCUUCAACCACGGGUAGCAAUACCGGAUCUGGAAUGGAUGAAUUUAAUGUGGAGCUGUUUAAUGGAAGUGAACUCGAGCGUGGUGGAGAAAAAGUAAUGUGGCCUGGGGGAACCGGACUAGGGCACAAUGGGAGCAGUGUGUGCAUGGGCUAGAGGUUCAGUCUUCUUACCCUACAUUCUCAGUUUGAUUAUGAAGGCCAAGGGUCAGGGUAGGAGUCUUGACAUACCGACAUGUCACCAGUUAGCAACUCUGCACAGCCUCAACUUAUUCUGUAUCUGUGCCAAACACAUACAUCAUUUCCAACAAUGUUGGAGACCCCAGGAACAUUGUGAAGGCACAAAGUCAUCCAUCAACAUCCAAAAUAUCGCUGGGUCGCCUGAUCCCAACCUAAAAUCCUCUUACAAAUAUAUGGAGGAACAAAAGUAGCAAACACAGUAAACAUAAUCUGGAGCUAUUGUGAGAAAACGAUAACCCCCAAAUAUGUAUCUCUGCAAGGCCCUGUAAUGCAGCCUUUGGCAAGAUAAAUGUGACUGAAACUACGAAACCAUUCAGUCUGACCAUAAAAGAUAUUGGGGAAAAAUCGGGGACAGAACAUGAGUCAAGACUUUGAGGGGAUAAUGUUCCUCCGACAAUAAAUACUUGAACAGUAGCAUAACGGAAUGCUGUGAACUGGGGAAUUAAAUUUUGCAGAAAAUAUUUUUUUGGCAAAGGUCAUGGCACUUAAGGCCGAACCUGGAACAAAUGGAGAGUGUGUCCUAUCAGGUAACACCUAAAUUUAUUCAGAUUAAAUAUUUGAGUGUUUUAAGUUUAAAAACCAGAAAAAUUAAAAUAGGCCUAUUCAU